rnacentral:rRNA from 1 species
UACGGAAGGCAGCAGGGGGGAAUAUUGCACAAUGGGCGCAAGCCUGAUGCAGCCAUGCCGCGUGUAUGAAGAAGGCCUUCGGGUUGUAAAGUACUUUCAGUCGUGAGGAAGGUGUUAAGGUUAAUAACCUUAGCAAUUGACGUUAGCGACAGAAGAAGCACCGGCUAACUCCGUGCCAGCAGCCGCGGUAAUACGGAGGGUGCGAGCGUUAAUCGGAAUUACUGGGCGUAAAGGGCACGCAGGCGGUUAAUUAAGUUGGAUGUGAAAUCCCCGGGCUUAACCUGGGAAUGGCAUUCAAGACUGGUUAGCUAGAGUCUUGUAGAGGGGGUAGAAUUCCAUGUGUAGCGGUGAAAUGCGUAGAGAUGUGGAGGAAUACCGGUGGCGAAGGCGGCCCCUGGACAAAGACUGACGCUCAUGUGCGAAAGCGUGGGGAGCAAACAGGGAUUAGAUACC